rnacentral:rRNA from 1 species
CGCGUAGGCGGACAUUUAAGUCAGGGGUGAAAUCCCGGGGCUCAACCCCGGAACUGCCCUUGAUACUGGGUGUCUUGAGACCGGAAGAGGUAAGUGGAACUGCGAGUGUAGAGGUGAAAUUCGUAGAUAUUCGCAAGAACACCAGUGGCGAAGGCGGCUUACUGGUCCGGAUCUGACGCUGAGGCGCGAAAGCGUGGGGAGGCAAAACA